UGAUUUGAUGUUAGGAGGGCAAAUCCGCCGAAUUUAAGCAUAUAAUUAAGCGGAAGAAAAGAAAAUAACUAUGAUUCCUUUAGUAACGGCGAGUGAACAAGGACCAGCUCAAACGGUUAAUCCUUCGUUUGGUGCAAGCCUUUCGACGGAAUUGUCGUUGAAUUAUUCCAUGAAUGCCUUUAAUUUGAGCAAAGUGAGCAGGAAUGCUGGGGCGCGGCCCCCCGAAAGGCGCAUAUUUCUUUUUAAUUUUGUGGAUUAUAACCAACCUCGAUUUUCGAAUUUUUUUGCUUCGAAAAAUUAAACUAAAAAAAAAAAACCACAAAGAGUCCAAAAUUCGUUGGAAAACGAUCACCAAAAAAAAAAAAAAAAAAACUCGA
rnacentral:ncRNA from 1 species